GGGGGCAUGGCUCAGUGGUCGAGCUCUGUAUGCCAUGCAGAAGGGCCCAAGUUCAGUCCCUGGCACCUCCA
rnacentral:tRNA from 1 species